UGGGUCAAUGUCCGUCGGUUAGGACAGCUAAUUGUUAAUUAGUUAUUUGUGGGAUCAAAGCCCGCUGACUCAG
rnacentral:tRNA from 1 species